CCCCAUUUUAACACUACCUGCCCUACAACAAAACCCACCUUUUGAAGAACGAUACCCAUUUACCCAUUAAUUAUUACCCAUUAACAUUUUAUUGCUUAUAUAAAUGUUCACCAUUGAGCACAUGCAUUACCAGUUGGGAAAUAGGCACAUACCCACCCUUAUAAUAAUGAACAACUCAAACCAUGUUUUAUUAGAUUAACCAAUGAUAUUGUGUUCAUGUGAGGAUGUGUUUUGGAGCUAAAUAUAGUAUUAGACACCACAAACUCAUAACACCUAUGAAUCAUGGCACAGACCGACUCGAUUUCUGUAGCCUCUGGCUGGUCUGUGUGCCUGGAAUUUUCACAAACAUUAGUCCUGGAAACUGGAUACUCUAUUCUUCGACAGUCUCAUAGAACAUACGCAUGGAGACAGGGAUGAAUGAAACAGUUCAUGUGAUCAAGGACUUUUGUGUGUUUGUGGUCACAUUGUUUUGUUUUUUCUUUCUUUAUACCAUUAACCACCUUGACGUAACAGUUUCCUGCUCCUGAUGCAUUUUGUUCCGACUCUCACCACUCUUAGCUGCAAUAUUUUUUCUCCUUACAGCAACAGUUGAGCAUAGUGUCCAGUGCUUCUUCUUCUUCUGCUUCUGCUUAAAAUAUCCUUGCUUGAAAGUUCUUGAAUGAAAACACAGGCAAUGACGAACACAAACAUAAAUAAUAACUGUGCCAAUCAUCACAAGUACUAUUUGAUUGUGGUGUCUUAACCAUAUUUUUUCCUAUGGCGUUUGGAUAAAUACCUACACACCUCUCUUCACAUCCAGCACACUCCUGAUUCACAGAUAAACACAAUAUCACUGCUGUAUCUACCAAUUUAACCCAAACACUCGUUAUUACUGCUGCAUUUACCAAUUUAAUCUAAACACUCGUUAUCACUGCCGUAUUUAACCAAUUUAAUCUAAACAUUAAUCAAAACAAUUACAUUCCUAUUUACCACCCUUCUAUUUAAACAUGUAUAGAUAACCCAAAAUGCCUACUUUCUC